GAUGAACGCUGGCGGCGUGCCUAAUACAUGCAAGUCGAGCGAACAGACGAGGAGCUUGCUCCUCUGACGUUAGCGGCGGACGGGUGAGUAACACGUGGAUAACCUACCUAUAAGACUGGGAUAACUUCGGGAAACCGGAGCUAAUACCGGAUAAGAUAUUGAACCGCAUGGUUCAAUAGUGAAAGACGGUGUUGCUGUCACUUAUAGAUGGAUCCGCGCCGCAUUAGCUAGUUGGUAAGGUAACGGCUUACCAAGGCAACGAUGCGUAGCCGACCUGAGAGGGUGAUAGGCCACACUGGAACUGAGACACGGUCCAGACUCCUACGGGAGGCAGCAGUAGGGAAUCUUCCGCAAUGGGCGAAAGCCUGACGGAGCAACGCCGCGUGAGUGAUGAAGGUCUUCGGAUCGUAAAACUCUGUUAUUAGGGAAGAACAAAUGUGUAAGUAACUAUGCACGUCUUGACGGUACCUAAUCAGAAAGCCACGGCUAACUACGUG
rnacentral:rRNA from 1 species